rnacentral:rRNA from 1 species
GACGAACGCUGGCGGCGUGCUUAACACAUGCAAGUCGAACGGAAAGGCCCUGCUUUUGUGGGGUGCUCGAGUGGCGAACGGGUGAGUAACACGUGAGUAACCUGCCCUUGACUUUGGGAUAAUUUCAGGAAACUGGGGCUAAUACCGGAUAGGAGCUCCUGCUGCAUGGUGGGGGUUGGAAAGUUUCGGCGGUUGGGGAUGGACUCGCGGCUUAUCAGCUUGUUGGUGGGGUAGUGGCUUACCAAGGCUUUGACGGGUAGCCGGCCUGAGAGGGUGACCGGCCACAUUGGGACUGAGAUACGGCCCAGACUCCUACGGGAGGCAGCAGUGGGGAAUAUUGCACAAUGGGCGGAAGCCUGAUGCAGCAACGCCGCGUGCGGGAUGACGGCCUUCGGGUUGUAAACCGCUUUCGCCUGUGACGAAGCGUGAGUGACGGUAAUGGGUAAAGAAGCACCGGCUAACUACGUG